rnacentral:rRNA from 1 species
GGCGGGUGAGUAACGCGUGGGUAACCUACCCUGUACACACGGAUAACAUACCGAAAGGUAUGCUAAUACGGGAUAAUAUAUUUGAGAGGCAUCUCUUGAAUAUCAAAGGUGAGCCAGUACAGGAUGGACCCGCGUCUGAUUAGCUAGUUGGUAAGGUAGCGGCUUACCAAGGCGACGAUCAGUAGCCGACCUGAGAGGGUGAUCGGCCACAUUGGAACUGAGACACGGUCCAA